UCCCUGGUGGUCUAGUGGUUAGGAUUCAGUGCUUUCACCACCACAGCCUGGGUUCAAACCCUGGUCUGGGAA
rnacentral:tRNA from 1 species